GAUGAAGAACGUAGCGAAAUGCGAUAAGUAGUGUGAAUUGCAGAAUUCAGUGAAUCAUCGAAUCUUUGAACGCACAUUGCGCCCCUUGGUAUUCCAUGGGGCAUGCCUGUUCGAGCGUCAUUUGUACCCUCAAGCUUUGCUUGGUGAUGGGUGUUUGUUCCGCUGCAACGCGUGAACUCGCCUCAAAUCAAUUGGCAGCCGGCAAUCUGGUGUUUGAGUGCAGCACAUUUUGCGCUCUUCGCUGUGUAUUGCGGGCGUCCAUGAAGCCUAUAUUUUCGCGCUUGACCUCGGAUCAGGUAGGGAUACCCGCUGAACUUAAGCAUAUCAAUAAGCGGAGGA
rnacentral:misc_RNA from 1 species